AAGCUGCUGCUCUGUCCGGUGUGUUCCAUACAGACGCUAAAGGGUGCGUUUUGCGUUGGAUCUGAUGCUCAGAGACACUG